rnacentral:rRNA from 1 species
ACGGGUGAGUAACGCGUAGGAAUCUGCCUUGAAGCGGGGGAUAACCCGAGGAAACUCGGGCUAAUACCGCAUAAUAUCGAGAGAUUAAAGCUAGGUAGCGAUACCCGGCACUUCAAGAGGAGCCUGCGUACGAUUAGCUAGUUGGUGGGGUAAAGGCCCACCAAGGCGAUGAUCGUUAGCUGGUCUGAGAGGAUGAUCAGCCACACUGGAACUGAGACACGGUCCAGACUCCUACGGGAGGCAGCAGUGGGGAAUAUUGGACAAUGGGGGCAACCCUGAUCCAGCAAUGCCGCGUGUGUGAAGAAGGCCUUCGGGUUGUAAAGCACUUUAGUUUGGGAGGAAGGUAUGGAGUUUAAGAGACACCAUAUUUGACUGUACCGAAAGAAUAAGCACCGGCUAACUCUGUGCCAGCAGCCGCGGUAAUACAGAGGGUGCAAGCGUUAAUCGGAGUUACUGGGCGUAAAGGGCGCGUAGGCGGUGUUAUAAGAUUGAUGUGAAAUCCCUGGGCUUAACCUAGGAACUGCAUCGAUGACUGUAACGCUAGAGUAUUGUAGAGGGUAGUGGAAUUUCCGGUGUA